rnacentral:rRNA from 1 species
GCUAUACAUGCAAGUCGAGCGAAUGGAUUAAGAGCUUGCUCUUAUGAAGUUAGCGGCGGACGGGUGAGUAACACGUGGGUAACCUGCCCAUAAGACUGGGAUAACUCCGGGAAACCGGGGCUAAUACCGGAUAACAUUUUGAACCGCAUGGUUCGAAAUUGAAAGGCGGCUUCGGCUGUCACUUAUGGAUGGACCCGCGUCGCAUUAGCUAGUUGGUGAGGUAACGGCUCACCAAGGCAACGAUGCGUAGCCGACCUGAGAGGGUGAUCGGCCACACUGGGACUGAGACACGGCCCAGACUCCUACGGGAGGCAGCAGUAGGGAAUCUUCCGCAAUGGACGAAAGUCUGACGGAGCAACGCCGCGUGAGUGAUGAAGGCUUUCGGGUCGUAAAACUCUGUUGUUAGGGAAGAACAAGUGCUAGUUGAAUAAGCUGGCACCUUGACGGUACCUAACCAGAAAGCCACGGCUAACUACGUGCCAGCAGCCGCGGUAAUACGUAGGUGGCAAGCGUUAUCCGGAAUUAUUGGGCGUAAAGCGCGCGCAGGUGGUUUCUUAAGUCUGAUGUGAAAGCCCACGGCUCAACCGUGGAGGGUCAUUGGAAACUGGGAGACUUGAGUGCAGAAGAGGAAAGUGGAAUUCCAUGUGUAGCGGUGAAAUGCGUAGAGAUAUGGAGGAACACCAGUGGCGAAGGCGACUUUCUGGUCUGUAACUGACACUGAGGCGCGAAAGCGUGG